UUAAGAUUCCUUAGCACGUUGCCUUUGGUAAAUGUUGCUGUAAAUGUGCCACGAAAGCUAUUGAUCCCUAAAUUCAGCACCGAGAGGCUAUUGCUGAAGUUUCCCAAAUAUUGUGGAAUCAACCCACUCAAAUUGUUAUUAAACAGAUCAAGAAUUCCAAGUGAACUUAGAUUGCAAAUCAAUGUAGGGAUUUCUCCAGUCAAUUUAUUGUUUGAGAUAGAGAAAACAUAUGUAGUGUUAGGUGGAACAGGGAGUGGUCCUCGGAGUAAGUUGGAAUGCAGGUCAAUAUAUCCCAGAUUCUUUCAUGGAAGACGCUCUAAACUUGUAAGGAAAUUAUGAGAAAGAUUUAAAUUAUGCAAUGAAUCUCUCCCCACAUUGAAUAACCAUUUUGAAACUUCACCAUGAAUUUUGUUGUUUGAAAGAUCUAGAAAACACAAUCUGGCUUGUUCUCUCAAGAAGUUUGGAAAUUCGCUCACGUUGCAAGAAGCUAAUCUUAUAGUUUCAAAGUUGGUCAAGGUAGAGUUGACACUGUUGUUGAUGCUCAAUGAGAAACCAUUAUGUGAGAGAUCAAGACAGAUCAGAUUUUUAAGCUUUAGAAGCUUAUCUAGAUCCACUACACCGCUUAAGUUAUCAGUGAACUUUGCCUUAUAGACUCUGUUUUUGAAUAGUGGAUUUGCUCUUUGGUUGCAUUUCGUACUUGGAAUUCAGUUUCAAAUUGAUAAUGAGCCAUUCAAGGCGGAAAUGAAGCAAUUUACAGCCAAGGUUGUGGACAUGAUGAGGCAAGAAAACUCUACGCAUCCUAAGGCGGACCUAUUAUCUUAUUCGACGCUAGUUUUUAUGUAGAUUUGCCAUAUAUAUGCAAGCAUUGUAUAAUUGUGGGUGCAGCAUCCUAUUUCACAUUUUUACUUUGACAAAUAGUAUGUCACUUUAACUUUGUUUGUGAGUCUCAAAUUAGGUGGAUGUCAUUGUCUUGUUUAAGGUUUGUGUGGCUUGGUUGGUGAAAGCAAUUAAUUCUUCAUUAACAAGUGGAGUCAUUGAUUUUGUGUUUUGAUCUUUGAAACUUGGAUGAUGGAUUGGUGAUUUUCUAAAAAAUGUGAUCACAAGGUUGAAGGUUCA